rfam:Desulfotomaculum reducens MI-1, complete genome.
UAACAAACAGGGCAAACCUGGUGAAAGUCAGGGACGCAAAGCCAUGGGUCUAAAGCGAAUGCCAGGACGGCUAGGCUACUAAA